rnacentral:lncRNA from 1 species
CUAGAACAUUACUUCAUAUAUAUAUAUAUAUAUGUAUGUAUAUAAAUAUAAUAAAUAUUAUUAUACAUAGUUAAAGUCUAAGUCUCUUUGCCAACUUAGACUCAACAACAAUAGAGCAGAAUAGGGACAUGGCCUUAAAAACAUAAAAUAAUAUAUAAGCUAUUACAUUAACUUAAAGAAACAUCUUUACAUAGCAAACCCUUGAAUCAUAAGAGUCCCUUUAACUGAACUUGGGAGAUCUAUCCAAGCUCUUCACUUAGGAGACAUCCUCUAGCCAUUACAACCUACACUUUGUGUAAAGGAUGAUAAAGAAUGGUAUUAGUACAAGAAUGCAAUAAGUAAGACAACCAUGAAAAAACAUUCAUUUAUAGAGGACAUUUAAUUUAAAAUCAUGAAACAUUUAUUUUUAUUAAACAUCAUGAACAUAGGCACAUAUAUUCUCAACAUAGUUCAUAUACACUAUAUAUACACGAAUACUACUCAUAAUAACACAUAAAGUGAUUUAUCAUACUUUAAGGCAUAUUGGAUACAUACAAUACAUUAAUUAUAUUUUUAUCUUACUUUAUUAAGUAACCCUCAAGUGUAUUUUAUACAAUGUAUCACCUUGAGGUCACCUUACAAUAGCCUUUCAUAUAUAUGCUUCAUAAACACAAACUACAUAUAUUCACAAGUCAUAGGCACAUCAUAGACAUCACUUCACAUAAAGAUCAUUUCCUAAGACAAAUCCUAAGUCACACUAGUGCAGUGUGUAGGUAGAAUCCCAUAAUACUUCUUCAACCAAGUGUACCUAAGAAGUCACCCUAGACUUGGCAUAACAUACUUAACAAGUCAACACUUUCAUUUAUUACUAGACAUAAGGCAACAUACUUCAUAUCAUCAAUUAAGGACUCUUUCUUUUAGUACAACCUAGUCAUAACUCAUUUAAUUCAUACCAUAAGUAAGACACCCCUCACAACCCCUUCACAAUAUUACUUGUGCAAUGUACACAUAGAGUCUCAUACCUCCACAUAUACUAAGUAAACUCACUUAGAAGCCAUAAGUGCAUUUCACAUGCAUACUCAUAAUUCAUAUCUUGACAUAGAAAAGUCACUUAGCAUGCAUUUAUACAAUUUAUACAUAACAUAAGUCUUUACUUCAUAAGAGGCUUCAAUACUAUCCUUUCUUGAAGUCAUCUAGUGCAAUGCAUAAGUAGGGUCGAAGUCUUCCCUGUCCUACCUAUACUAAGUACACUUCUCAAGGAAUUUUAUUAUGAUUCAUAUUUUUAUCUUAGUUAAUAUAUUAAUCUUCGAGAGAGAUAUCCAUAAUCGACAUUGACCGUGUGAGCUAAAUGGAAUCUGGUGUUCUACUCCCACACCGAAAAGAGAGGGUUAACACUUGGCUAAGGUGCAACAAAUCGUACAUAGCUAUAUAAGUGGUAUCCACAAGCUAUAACCUACGGGGCACGUAGUUUUGGAACAUGGACAUUGCUUCUAGAAACCUUGACUGACUAGCAUGGAGGUUUCUAUCUUAUAAGACAACAUCUAUGUUGGGUAUUCAGACUUUCUAAACGUGAAGGUUCUCUUGUAGGAAGCCGGACUUACUAACGUGAAACUCCCACUAUCAUUUUUCAUGUUCACUCGGUGCUAGGAUCUAGCUCUCUUCUUAAUAUAUAUAGUUAAGCCUUUAAUACUCUAAUUCAUAAAGAAAGCUUUAGGAGCUUGCUCCUUCAUACAUCAUAUAGCUCAAAGAAUUCUAAGAUAAAAAUGUCCUUUCUUCAUAGCACCUACAUUAUAUGAGAAUGCCUUUUCACAUAUUCAUACAGUCAUACAUCAUGUGUGCACAUACCGUGUGAGAUCUACCUUGACAUAACAUCUCUAAUCACACAUGUUCAUAACUUCAUUUAUAUUAUACUUAGAUGCAUAAAAAUACGUAAUGAUGCAUAGGAUUUGUUUAAUCAUCAUGAAUCUACCCUAUCCAUAGUCAUGCAUAAAGUGUCUGUGUACAUUGGUCAACAUGAUCAUAUAAUGGCUAUAACAUAACCAUAAGGAAGAUACCCUCUUAAGAUAACCACACAUGUACAACAUUCCUCAAGUCUCAAGUCAUACACACAUAUAGAGUAUUAAGCACUAUAGACUACACACACUCAGAUUACAUUAUAGGAGUCAAGAACAUAUUCAACAUUAGAAUAGAAAACUCCUAGCAUACUUUGAUCACAUAUUGAUAUAGGGUUCGUAUAGGUAGGGGUAAUGCUAUAAGAGUACUCAUCAACAUUAGCAAUCUUAGACCAUACCUAACCCAUGAUCAUCACAUAUAUGCAAAGCAUCAUCCGGAAACCUACAUCAUGCAACUAGUUUGGGAGGCUACUCAUACACUUCACAUAAAACAUGAUAUUAGAAUCAAGUCUAAAUACUUCAAAUUCCUAAACAUGAAAAUUAUCAUAUAAAUUAAUCUUUCAUCUAAUACUUUCAAGGCCAUGACCUUAUCCCAUAAACAUGUAAAAGAAUGUAAAUACCGCCACCAUAAAUGGAUCAUACCAAUCAACACAAUUCAAUGUGUGUUCUAAGCUAAUUAGAUUAAAUAGUUCAACUUACAAAGUAUAAAAGCUAUGAUAAUCAUUGAUUAUUCUUCCAUAAUUCAUAGUCAAUUUAUAUAGAUAGUAAUAGAAAUAACCAAUACAAUACAAUCUAAUCACAAUUCUAUAAACAUGAAAUCAAGAUCACAAGACCCACAUUAUAGGCCAAUUUGAGAAUUAGGAGGAUCAUGGUUCUUCAUAAAAUUUAAUAUAAAUUCAUCAAAAAUCAGUUUCUAAUCAUAAACUCAUCAUUAGAAUGCUUUUGAAAUAACUUUGAGAAUGAACCAAUGGGUAGAUUGAAAAUUGGGAAUAUUGGUCUUUGAAUCACUUUUGAAAUUCAUUGAUUUAACUCCUUAGAUGAAUGGAUAACUAAGGAUGAAGGAUAACCAUACCUUAUUAUUGGAAGACCCAUGAAGAAUUGGAGAAUAAACCAUAGAAAUCCAGCCCCUAGUUUGAUCUUUAGUUUUGGUCUCCCAUGGACGUUUUGGGAGAAUCUGGAAGAGAUAAGAAUUUUGGAGUUUUGUUUUUCUA